rnacentral:rRNA from 1 species
AAGCGGUGGAGCAUGUGGUUUAAUUCGAUGAUACGCGAGGAACCUUACCUGGGCUCAAAUGUAUGUUGACGUAUUCUGAAAGGGAUACUUCUUCGGACAAUAUACAAGGUGCUGCAUGGUUGUCGUCAGCUCGUGCCGUGAGGUGUCGGGUUAAGUCCCAUAACGAGCGCAACCCUAUCAUUAGUUGCCAUCAGGUCAAGCUGGGGACUCUAAUGAAACUGCCUACGCAAGUAGUGAGGAAGGUGGGGAUGACGUCAAAUCAGCACGGCCCUUACGUCCAGGGCUACACACGUGCUACAAUGGCCGGUACAAAGGGCAGCUACCUGGUGACAGGAUGCUAAUCUCAAAAGCCGGUCUCAGUUCGGAUCGGAGUCUGCAACCCGACUCCGUGAAGCUGGAAUCGCUAGUAACCGCGCAUCAGCCAUGGCGCGGUGAAUACGUUCCCGGGCCUU